GUAUUUCCGCCGGCGCGAAACGAGCGUAGCUUCCUUGUCGUGUGGCCUCAGUCCUUCGCCGUCCCUCGCCGUCCUUCGCCAUCGCACGCCACCGCACCCCAUCUCUCGAAAUCUGCAGACAUCUUGAUUUUUCCCACGCUGUCUGUCAGGUCUCCGCCGCCACUCGACGCCAGGGCGCCGGGUGAGUCCACAGCAGGGCGCAUGGUCGGCUCCACUCUCACCAUCGGGGGAAACUGAGGCCCCGGGGAAGGCGGCCAGAGAGGUCAGGCCCUGUCCUUGGUGCAGUGUCUCGUCCUCUUUGCCGGAGUGAGCCCCCCAGGAUUCGCGUGUCCUCGGGAAAGACACUGGCAGGCCUUGUGGGCUGUGCUGCACCUCGGACGGCUUCGCACCAGCCAGCGCCCUCUCUCUCCUGCAGCACUCUGAUCUGCACCCCCUGAGGGGCUUCCACUGUCCGCGGGGUGAGAAUGCCCCUGGGAGUGUCACAUGACUGCCGCCCCAUGUGUGUGAGAGGCGUCCUCUGGGAGAGCAUGGAUCCUGAGGUCCCAGGAUUGUCAGCUGACCUCUGUCCUGUGUGCCCAGUGGCCCCAGGUGACGUGUCUUCAAGAAGAGGCUGAGCUGCGGUGCUUGUAAGAGUCAUGUGCUGUUCCUGGGGCUUGGAUGAUGUAGGGGAAGCAAGGUGAAAGUGGUAUCCCGUGGUUCCACGUUCUGUCCUGCUGUGGGGCUGUCCCUCACAUGCUUUCAGUGGCUGUUGCAGAGGAAGAGCCUCCGGAAAUCUGCGUGGGUAAAGUCUCAGCCUUAGAUCCAAGGACAGUCCAAGGAAGUCCUAAGACCAUGGAGUUGGUGAUCUGGGAUCUGGGUUUGCUGAUAUUUCUCACCGUGAAUCUCUUGGUGGUGUUUGUGGGCACGAGAGGGGCAGAGAAUGGAGAGUGAGGCUACCACAUGAAGCGUCACCAGAGCUGCUCCCUGCUGCCUGCUCAGAGCACCCCGGAUCCACUGUUCAAUCUGCACAAGAUUCGGGGUCCAGACAUGGGAGACUUCAGCUGCCUCAGAGGACCGUGGACAGGGAAGGCCAGCCUCGCAUCCCUCUGUCCAUGCCUGGAAUGACUUUAAUAACCAAGAGUUUUAUUUUUGAAUUUGUAGCUGUCGUUCACUUUUUACCCACCCAUUCAAUAAACCUUACAGAAUUGCUCCA
rnacentral:lncRNA from 1 species